CUCCUCUCAGGAUUGCAACUGGAGAGUUUCCAGUAUUCCGCCAGUCUCGGCUAAAGGAGGGAGAGUAGAGCAGAGGCCUGUCCAUUCCAUUCCUAGCUUGGGCAGUGGUUAGCAAGUGGAAGGCAAUCUACUACAAGU